rnacentral:lncRNA from 1 species
AACGAACAGGGGGAAAAAAGAACAAGAAACAAAUCUUAAAAGCGAGCAACAUUUUGAGCAAAAACAAAAUCAGAACCAACAUGAAUUGCAAAAAAAUGUAACCAAAACGAACAGGGGUCUAAGCCAUCAAAGCAGAAGGCAUAGAAACACAUAAAAUCAGUGGCCAUCGAAUUUAGAGCAUGCCCAAGAGCUUGAUCCCCACAAGAUAGGAAGGAUACGCACGCAUCAUGAAUUGCAUACUUAAUGUCUUCUCGAUAUGUACAUAGGGAUGUGGAAAGUC